UGCGGAUUAAUGUAAUAGUAACAUAUUUGACUCAUGAUCAAAAGACGUUGGUGCAAAUCCUUCAUCCGCAU
rnacentral:tRNA from 1 species